rnacentral:lncRNA from 1 species
GUUUUACAAGAUAACCAUGAAUAUUUCUUAAAAAAAUUAAGUGACAGUAUUUUUAAAGAGGUAACGAUCACACUUGUAGAACAAACAUUUUCAAAUGAAAAUAACUGUUCAUUAUAUGGAGUAUAUACACCCCGCAAACAGCGCAAACACGUACAACAGUUUAUCAUCAGCUGGUCAUUGUUUUUGUCCACAAACAUUAUGUAAUUGUAAUCAGUUGGAAAGGCCAAAUUAAUUAUGACAUGAUAAAGCAUCAGAAACCAAAAGUUCUGAUAAAAGAAUUUUUUAUAUAAAGGUAUAAGACGAGUGCCUGUGAAUACACAUAUCCAUUUUUGUGAGAAAAUACAAAACUGGCAGAAGGUUUGAAACGGGACACAAAUUAAACCUACAAUUGCUCCUCAGUGAAUAAACCAAAUAAAACAGCUAGCAAAUAACCCUAACCCUAACUCUAAACCAAAUAAAACAGUUAAACAAAGAAAGAAACAUAUUCAAGAUGGAAAGAAAUCUGGGGUUGAUAUUGCCUAAAUAUUCAAUAUUGUGUUGAUGAAAAAACCCAAUACAUUAAGGUGCUUGGUGGUGAAAAACCCAAUUUGAUAUUAACAUGAGGGGUGAAUUGGAAUUGAUAAUGCAAUUAAAAAACUUUAUCACCCAAUUAUAUAAGAAAAUGGUGGGUAAGCAUAAGCAUAAGCAUUGUGACAUAGGAAAUUUACGGGAAAGUGCACAAAUUUGAAAGUUGUCAAUAGAUACCAGUGGUUCAUUGAUUUAAAGGCACUCUGGUCUGUAACCGACACUUCAGCGAUAACAUAGCAUUAAAUGAACAGAGGUACAGGCAAACUUACUUAUCGACCAGCAUUAUGUAGAUUUAUAGGAAGAUGUGGUGUGAGUGCCAAUGAGACAACUCUCCAUCCAAUCCUCUCAAUAACAAUUUAAAAAAAAUUAAACCAUUAUAGGUCAAUGUACGGCCUUCAACACAGAGCCUUUGCUCACACCAAAUAACAAGCUAUAAAGGGCCCCAAAAUUACUAGUGUAAAACCAUUCAAACGGGAAAACCAACGGUCUAAUCUAUAUAAAAUAAAAAACGAGAAAUGCAUAUAAAUUAUAUAUAUAUAUUUUUUGAUUGCAUAACACGUGCACAUGUUACAUGUAUAAUGUUAAUGAAAAUAAACCUUAUUGCAUUUUGGGAAUCUGCAACACUUAGCUUCAGAAUCUCGGACAAUUAGAAAAUUCACUAAAAUAAUCAGUUUUCUACACUCUUUUUUCUCUUCUUGAAGAUAUUGAUUUGAUAAUUUGUAUAUAGUUUUAUCAUGACAAGUUACAAAUCAAGUUUGAGUUUUGUUCUGGUCUGAUGAUUUUGUGCAGAGUUAUGGUCCUUGGACUUAGAAAAUUCAUUCAAAUAAUCAGUUUUCCGCACUUUUUUUAAUCAUGCUUGAAGAUAUUGAUUUGAAAAUUGGUAUACUGUUUAUUUGUGACAAGUUACAGAUCAAGUUUGAAUUUUGUUGCAGUCUGAUGAUUUUGUGCUGAGUUAUGGUCCUUGGACUUAGAAAAUUCACUUAAAUAAUCAGUUUUCCACACCUUUUUUUGUCAUGCUUGAAGAUAUUGAUUUAAUAAUUGGUAUAUAGUUUUAUCAUUAGUUACAGAUCAAGUUCGAAUUUUGUUCGAGUCUGAUUGUCUGACUAUAGCUAAAAUUCAUGUUGCAUUCAUUAUGAAACAUGCAUGUGAUGUGGUUAAAUUUUUUAAAGACAAUUUCUAAUUCACACCAUGUGACAUGCCAUUUAUCAUGAAACUUUAGAGAUUAUAAAGUUUACGCGUGUUGGAUAUGGUAGGAUAUAGCUUUCAUAUAAGUAGCUAGUCCUCAACUGCUUAAGUGAGGGAUUAAGUACCAGUUUUAAUUUUUAUACGCCCGUCAAAAUUUUGACGGGACGUAUUAUGGUAUACAAAUGUCCGGUGUCCGUCUGUCUGUCUGUCCGGCGAAAACAUGUCGCCGUAACUUGAGAACAACUUAUCCAAAUUUCAUGAAACUUAAUACAGUUGUUUCGUAUAAUGGUCAAAUGAUCUGUAUACUUUUUGGUAAAAAUAAGAUUUAACUUUGAGUUGCGGCCACUUUGUAACUAAACAGAGGGUGUUUUUUUUCACAUGUCACACGCUAUCUCAAAAAACGAUUCUUGAUUAUUGCUUAAAACUUUUCACACUUCUUAUUAUAUUAAUCUAAAGAUCUGUAUACGUUGGGAUGAUUCAAAUUUCAUUUUUGGGUUAUUGAGUAUUUUGUAAAAAAGGGGGAGAGUUUUUUUACAUGUUGCGCUGUAUCUCAAAAACAAUAUAUGAUUAUUGCUUAAAACUUUACACACUGCUUUGUUAUAUUAAUCUAAAGAUCUGUAUACUUUUUGACGCCCGUCAAAAUUUUGACGGGACAUAUUAUGGUAUACAAAUGUCCUGUGUCAGUCCGUCUGUCUGUCCGGCGUAAAACUUUACACACUGCUUUGUUGUAUUAAUCUAAAGAUCUGUAUACUUUUUGGUUUGAUUCAAAAUUUUAUUUUAGUGAUAUUAGUUUUUUGUAAAAUAACAGGGUGGUGGGUGGGGGGGAGGGUUCACAUGUCCCGCCAUGUCUCAAAAACAAUAAAUGGUUAUUGCUUAAAACUUUCUCAGAAACUAUUGAUGAUUAUUGCAUAAAACUUCCACACAAGACGUCGGGCGUAUCAUGCGGUCAUGGCACAGCUGUUUAUUAAAUUUUUGAAUCCACAAUUUACAUUGUUUCCUAUUUGGGGUAGUAUAUAUGUGUCUUAUCUGUCCAAUACCCCAAAAACUGUUUUCAUGAUAAACAUGAACAAUUGUCAAAAUAUAUUUGUAACUGUUAAACCUCUAAUGAUCAUGAUACUGGUGAAGAAAACAAUCAAGAGAAAACAUUUUUAAUAAUUAUCUUUAUCUCAUUUCAGAUUCAUGAUGACUUAAUGGACGUCCUAUCAGACAACUAAGAAAACAACUAUAUAAAUUAUGUAAUCUGUACAUUUUUCCAUGUGUAACUGUAUUUGAAAUAAAGGAAGAUACAUGUACAUGUAUUGCAUCAGUUAAGAGAUCAUCUAGACUAGAAAACUACAAGCAAGAAUUUCAAAAAAGGGGUCCAUCAAGGAAUGGACCAAAUUCAUGACUCUGUAGCAUGGUAUCAGAAAAAGGUAUAUAAUAUAAAAAUAAGAAGAUGUGGUUUGAUUGCCAAUUAGACAACUCUCCACUAGAGACUUGGAUGAAUUAGAAGUAAACAUCUGUAGGUCUACUAUAGUCUUAAACAAUAAGCAAAACCCAUACUGCAUAGUAACCUAUAAAAAUCCUUAAAAUGGCAAAUGUAAAUCAAUUCAAGCAUAAAAACUAACGGCCUGAUUUAUGUUCAAAACAAUAAGCAAAAGACUUGACAUGGUUAGACCAAUGUAUGGUUUGGUUGUGGUUCAAAUACAGGUAUUAUUCCUGUUUUAUUUUCUAUAUAAUGCAGUGAAUCAUCUAUGCACUAGUCACAUGACAUUUGCCCACUUUCUCCUUAAAUGUCCCAAAAAAAUUUAAAAUUGAGUUUACUUCAUACUUCAGAAGAAAUUGUUAUAAGAAUAGAAAUUUACCUGGAAUUCUCAAAGUCCAACUGAAUCACUGCAAUGGUCAUACAUACAUGCAUGUAGUUUGUUCUGAUUCACUGAUCAUGCUAAUUCAAUAUACACAUUCUUGCAUUUUUUAAAACAUUAUAUUAAAUACAAAAUGACCACUAUAGAUGCAUUAACACUCAAACUUAAAGAAAGCAUGGCCAACAUAAUGUAGGAAAUAGAAUAAAAACUACAUCCUUUUAAUCAUUACAAAUAUCCUGUCAAACUAACUACAGCAAAAGAAGAGGUUUUAUUCCAGAUAUUUGAGUUAUUGGGAACAGUAGUGCAACAAAUACUGUGGAUUCAUUUAUGUAAACACGGGAGGUGGGUACAAAUUUUUAUCGGCUGAGGAAAAAUUGUGUAUUCAUGGAUAUUUGAUUUUUGUGGAUCUUCCAAAGUCUGCAAACAACAUGAACAAAUCUAUUAUUGGUCCUUGUGCAUGCUCUCUGAUUGAGACCAAUUAAGAAAAUUGAUGCCUUGUUGGACAUUUAAAUUCCUGGUUGACCUUUGCCCGGAAAAUCAACAAAAAUCAAAAAAUAUUAAAGGAUAUUCUAGCUUGGAAUUUGUUUUGCAGCCGAGCUACAUAUUGAUUGAAAAAGAACACAGCAUAGACAUUUUUAUCCUAAAUAAUAGUAAAACAAGAUUGCCUUAUAACUCAAGUAAAUUAAAUGACAAUUACAUUGAGUUUAGAUGUAGUACACAUGUACAGUAAUUGUUAUUUCAUGUAAUUUACUGUUUUAAUUUUAGAUUGGUCUUCAUGAUAAACAAUUGUGGGAACAGAGUGUAGAUCGUAAAGUGUUAAGGGUAAGUAUGAUAUACAAAUGUAUUAUACAUGUAGGAGAGUUUGACUACCAAGGUGUCUCAAGUUUGUGAAUUAAUCUGACAUUUAGACAAAAGAAAUGAUCAUUGUUUAUGGAAAGUCAACUUUUUAUGACCCUGCCAUGACUGAGGGAGCAUUCAUUAUACACGAGUUAUUACCACAAAACACUUAAGUCAACCAAAUGUUAUGAAACUUAUACACAAUGUUUAUUAGUUAUUACCACAAAACACAUAUCAAGUUGGACUUUUAGAGGCAACACUUUUGUUGAUCUAGUGCCCCCUUGGUUAAUUAAAAUAAUGCAGAAUUUGCUUAAUAUUUACAAGUGGGGGCAUCUGUGUCUCAUGAACACAUAUUCUUCAUUUAUGUGGUAAUACAUUUGUUACAGUGGCUAGUCUUGGAGAUUCUGUGAAUAUAGGUCUUAAAUGUCAAUGGCAGAGGGUUGUGUACUUUUUCUUGUAUAGUGACUAUUUUUACAAAGCCCCAGGACAGUUGUAUUGACAAUUUUAAUGUCAUAUAAUGUGAAAAUUGAACCUGUUAGGGUAUAUUUAUUACAUGUAGUUACUUUUCAUGUCAGCUCUGUAUAUCAAUGAACCAGUUCUUGUACAAUUUAAAUAAAAUAACACAUUUCAAAAUACGAUUUUAGAUCUAUCACAUUAAAUGUAAAAUUGAAACAUGCUUUAUCUGUGAAUUGUCAGUAAAUAAGCCAGGAGAUAGAUGAAUUUAUACACUUGUACCUUUCAUUAUCUGUCAUGUCUGUCCGAAUAUAAAUAUAGAAAUUUCCUGUUCAAACCAGAAGAUUAAAAAAAGGAAAUAACUUCAAAUGUUGUCAUGGUUGUUAUGACUUUUUCUUUGGGUUAAUUUUGUUUAUAAAAAAAAAAUUAUGAAAUACUGUAAAUUCAGAAAUUAUUGCGAUGUUUUUAAUAUUGAGAAAAAUGCAACAGGGUUAUAAUCGCAAUAAUUUAAACUCGCAUUUUGAAAUUUUUUAUAUGAAUUGAACAGGAUUUUUCUCAAUAUUGCAAUAAUUAAAAUCCCAUUUUAGUCUAAAAUGGCAAAAUCGCAAUAAUAAUUGCACGCAAUAAUUUCUGAAUUUACAGUAAUGGAUUCACCUGUGUAUUUACAUGUACCUCUAAUCAGUUGCCUUAUGAAAUUAUUUCAGCAUACCUGUUAGAAACAUAUCUUUCUUCAUUACAUGUGCAUAUACAUUUUGAAAAAAAAAUAGACCCAAGAAGAAAUUCUGUAUAGGGAAAACCUGUGUUGUCUCUUAUUAGCCUAAAGACAAAAUACAUCACGGAGAAACAUUGCUAUUCUAUGUCUGACUUUCAAAAAGACAACAGCAACAAGAACGAAUAUUACAGACCAUUUUCUUACAGUCGUCACAUGAUUUUUAUUAUAUGUGUUUUUUUCCUUCUCAGGGUAUCAGAAAUGCUCCAAGAAGAUCAGUAAGAGCCAAAACUGAGUUCAUAGAUGUGGAUUUAAUCAGAGGU